rnacentral:rRNA from 1 species
GUGCCUAAUACAUGCAAGUCGAACGCGUUGGCCCAAUUGAUUGACGGUGCUUGCACCUGAUUGAUUUUGGUCGCCAACGAGUGGCGGACGGGUGAGUAACACGUAGGUAACCUGCCCAGAAGCGGGGGACAACAUUUGGAAACAGAUGCUAAUACCGCAUAACAGCGUUGUUCGCAUGAACAACGCUUAAAAGAUGGCUUCUCGCUAUCACUUCUGGAUGGACCUGCGGUGCAUUAGCUUGUUGGUGGGGUAACGGCCUACCAAGGCGAUGAUGCAUAGCCGAGUUGAGAGACUGAUCGGCCACAAUGGGACUGAGACACGGCCCAUACUCCUACGGGAGGCAGCAGUAGGGAAUCUUCCACAAUGGGCGCAAGCCUGAUGGAGCAACACCGCGUGAGUGAAGAAGGGUUUCGGCUCGUAAAGCUCUGUUGUUAAAGAAGAACACGUAUGAGAGUAACUGUUCAUACGUUGACGGUAUUUAACCAGAAAGUCACGGCUAACUACGUGCCAGCAGCCGCGGUAAUACGUAGGUGGCAAGCGUUAUCCGGAUUUAUUGGGCGUAAAGAGAGUGCAGGCGGUUUUCUAAGUCUGAUGUGAAAGCCUUCGGCUUAACCGGAGAAGUGCAUCGGAAACUGGAUAACUUGAGUGCAGAAGAGGGUAGUGGAACUCCAUGUGUAGCGGUGGAAUGCGUAGAUAUAUGGAAGAACACCAGUGGCGAAGGCGGCUACCUGGUCUGCAACUGACGCUGAGACUCGAAAGCAUGGGUAGCGAACAGGAUUAGAUACCCUGGUAGUCCAUGCCGUAAACGAUGAGUGCUAGGUGUUGGAGGGUUUCCGCCCUUCAGUGCCGGAGCUAACGCAUUAAGCACUCCGCCUGGGGAGUACGACCGCAAGGUUGAAACUCAAAGGAAUUGACGGGGGCCCGCACAAGCGGUGGAGCAUGUGGUUUAAUUCGAAGCUACGCGAAGAACCUUACCAGGUCUUGACAUCUUGCGCCAACCCUAGAGAUAGGGCGUUUCCUUCGGGAACGCAAUGACAGGUGGUGCAUGGUCGUCGUCAGCUCGUGUCGUGAGAUGUUGGGUUAAGUCCCGCAACGAGCGCAACCCUUGUUACUAGUUGCCAGCAUUAAGUUGGGCACUCUAGUGAGACUGCCGGUGACAAACCGGAGGAAGGUGGGGACGACGUCAGAUCAUCAUGCCCCUUAUGACCUGGGCUACACACGUGCUACAAUGGACGGUACAACGAGUCGCGAACUCGCGAGGGCAAGCAAAUCUCUUAAAACCGUUCUCAGUUCGGACUGCAGGCUGCAACUCGCCUGCACGAAGUCGGAAUCGCUAGUAAUCGCGGAUCAGCAUGCCGCGGUGAAUACGUUCCCGGGCCUUGUACACACCGCCCGUCACACCAUGAGAGUUUGUAACACCCAAAGUCGGUGGGGUAACCUUUUAGGAGCCAGCCGCCUAAG